ACAAUCAAUAAAACAAUAAAUCAAGCUCUGCUGUGUGGUGUUUGUCAAUUCUCAUCAAGAUAUAAAUGCUCUCCCUGAAAAUUUAACAAUUAAGCUGUCUCAAGCACAACCCCAUAAAAGAUGAGAAGGUGUGGCAGGGUUGUGAUCCAAGGAGGAGGUGCCAACCCAUAGCAAGGAAAUCAGGAAUUAUUUCUUUGGAUCCAAAGAACAUAUUGAGUCUUCAUCUCAUAUUUUUGGGAGAUAGGAAGGAGGGAGAGUUACCCACCUUGUCUGAAUCAACUCCAUUUCCACGAGCCUGUUAAGUUCAGCAAAGACACUUGGAGCUAAAGAGCACAAGGCAGAAGCAUUAAUUGCAUGUACCUGAGAUAACAUGGCGGGAAGAGGUGGAGAAACAUGAUGGAGAAGAAAGGGCCUGGGAAGAAGAGGCUUUCCAGACAGCUGGCCUUUGAUUUAAGAGUCAGGAGUAGCAGAUAGAGAGCUGGAUUUGGAGCCUGAAGGACCUGGGAUCAAAUUUUGCCUCUGACGUAACUGGCCAUCGAGGAGCCUCUCCUUGGUCUAGCCAACUCUACAGGACCAUACACUGCAGAGAAUGUACCACCUUGAAUUGGUAAUCGGGGGUUUCCUCUUGCAGAAGCUCUGUAGGCUAAUGACCAGGGGCAAGCCUAAGCCUCGGUUUCCUCAUCUGUAAAAGGGAGCAGGUAUUUUUACUCUAAGAUCCCCUUGUACUUCUCGAUUUUAUGAAAUCUGUGAAGGAGGUAACACAAAUAUUAUCUAUCCCAUUUUAGAGUCAAAGAAACUGAGAUUCUGAAGGAUUAAAGGGCUUGGCUCAGGCACAUGACUGGCAAGUGGUGGAUCCUAGAUUCAAAGUCUGGGUCUUCUGAAACAAGUCCCUUGCUGGUUCCACAGCAGCACACUCAGACAUGAAAAUCAUGCGGCCACUGCUAUAGAGCUGUUGUUUGUCCUUCAUUCUCGAAGAGGAUCAUGGCAUCAAGGAAGGUGAUGCCAUGACU